rnacentral:rRNA from 1 species
AUUGAACGCUGGCGGCAGGCCUAACACAUGCAAGUCGAGCGGCAGCGGGAAAGUAGCUUGCUACCUUUGCCGGCGAGCGGCGGACGGGUGAGUAAUGCCUGGGAAAUUGCCCAGUCGAGGGGGAUAACAGUUGGAAACGACUGCUAAUACCGCAUACGCCCUACGGGGGAAAGCAGGGGACCUUCGGGCCUUGCGCGAUUGGAUAUGCCCAGGUGGGAUUAGCUAGUUGGUGAGGUAAUGGCUCACCAAGGCGACGAUCCCUAGCUGGUCUGAGAGGAUGAUCAGCCAAACUGGAACUGGGACACGGUCCAGACUCCUACGGGAGGCAGCAGUGGGGAAUAUUGCACAAUGGGGGAAACCCUGAUGCAGCCAUGCCGCGUGUGUGAAGAAGGCCUUCGGGUUGUAAAGCACUUUCAGCGAGGAGGAAAGGUCAGUAGCUAAUACCUGCUGGCUGUGACGUUACUCGCAGAAGAAGCACCGGCUAACUCCGUGCCAGCCGCCGCCGUAAAAC